UCGUCCUAAAGUAGUCCCUUCGAAACUUUCGAGCCAAAUCUCAAAUCAUGAAAAAUCUUGUGGUUUUCUUAUGAAAAUAUUAGUAACAUUUAGUAUAAAUGGUAUCUCUUUAUUCUUUCUGACACAAUAAAGCAAAUCAAUAGAGUGAAAGUAGGUUUGAUAAUUCCCGUUUUACAAAGUUAAACUAUCCCUUGUAUUGCAUAAGGUUUGCAGGGAAAAAGGGUACAUUCAAUCACAUGCAACCUCAUGAGAGCUAGGAAGAAGAGAAAAGAGUACAAAUAUUCAGAGCUAAUCACUAUCGAUGUGGUACCUGCAUUGGUUUAUUUCAAGGUUGAAUGGCUCUUCCGUUACAGCAGGUGGCUUUACUCCUAGAAAUAGCAAUGUGCUCAUAGUAUCCACAUCUUCGAACCAGGUAUAUGCCUUUGAUGUUGAAGCUAAACAACUAGGAGAAUGGUCCAACCGGAAUACAUUCUCCCUGCCGAGAAGAUUUCAAGAAUUUCCUGGAGAAGUGAUUGGGCUUUCUUUUGCUCCUUCUACUAAUUCAUCAUCCGUCAUAGUCUACAGUUCAAGGAGUUCUAUGGAAAUGCGUGGACCUGUAAAUAUAGCUAGUGAGCUUUACGAAGUGUCCGUUAGCCUCUUCAGAUAUUGACUAAUGUUUUCAUGUAUCAAUUAGUAUUUUUUUAAAAUUUCUGUAUCAAUCAGUUUUGCCCCUUGAAACAAACAAUUUGAUCCAUAAUGUUAAAGUUAUUUUCU